rnacentral:rRNA from 1 species
UACGGGGGGGGCAAGCGUUGUUCGGAAUUACUGGGCGUAAAGGGCUCGUAGGCGGCCAACUAAGUCAGACGUGAAAUCCCUCGGCUUAACCGGGGAACUGCGUCUGAUACUGGAUGGCUUGAGUUUGGGAGAGGGAUGCGGAAUUCCAGGUGUAGCGGUGAAAUGCGUAGAUAUCUGGAAGAACACCCGUGGCGAAGGCGGCUUUCUGGGACGGUACUGACGCUGAGACGCGAAAGCGUGGGGAGCGAACAGG